rnacentral:rRNA from 1 species
AAUCAACGCUGGCGGCGUGCCUCAGACAUGCAAGUCGAACGAUUAAGACUCUCUUCGGAGAGUGUAUAAAGUGGCGCACGGGUGAGUAACACGUAGGUAAUGUACCGAAGGGUGGGAAUAACUUAGGGAAACUUAAGCUAAUACCGCAUAAUGCAGCGGCUCGACAUCGAGACAGUUGUUAAAGGAGCAAUCCGCCUUUUGAGCAGCCUGCGGCAGAUUAGCUAGUUGGUAAGGUAAUGGCUUACCAAGGCUACGAUCUGUAACCGAACCUGAGAGGGUGGGUCGGUCACACUGACACUGAAUAAACGGGUCGAGACUCC